UACGGAGGAUGCGAGCGUUAUCCGGAUUUAUUGGGUUUAAAGGGUGCGUAGGCGGACGCUUAAGUCAGCGGUAAAAUUGCGGGGCUCAACCUCGUCGAGCCGUUGAAACUGGGUGCCUUGAGUGGGCGAGAAGUACGCGGAAUGCGUGGUGUAGCGGUGAAAUGCAAAGAUAUCACGCAGAACUCCGAUUGCGAAGGCAGCGUACCGGCGCCCAACUGACGCUGAAGCACGAAGGCGUGGGUAUCGAACAGG
rnacentral:rRNA from 1 species